UACGAAGGGGGCUAGCGUUGCUCGGAUUGACUGGGCGUAAAGGGCGCGUAGGCGGUUCGUACAGUCAGACGUGAAAUUCCUGGGCUCAACCUGGGGGCUGCGUUUGAUACGUGCGGACUUGAGUGCGGAAGAGGGUCGUGGAAUUCCCAGUGUAGCGGUGAAAUGCGUAGAUAUUGGGAAGAACACCUGAGGCGAAGGCGGGUUGCUGGGCCGACACUGACGCUGAGGCGCGAAAGCCAGGGGAGCAAACGGG
rnacentral:rRNA from 1 species